rnacentral:rRNA from 1 species
GGAGGGUGCAAGCGUUAUCCGGAUUUACUGGGUUUAAAGGGUGCGUAGGUGGGUCUGUAAGUCAGUGGUGAAAUCUCCGAGCUUAACUCGGAAACUGCCAUUGAUACUAUAGAUCUUGAAUUAUCUGGAGGUAAGCGGAAUAUGUCAUGUAGCGGUGAAAUGCUUAGAUAUGACAUAGAACACCAAUUGCGAAGGCAGCUUACUACGGAUCGAUUGACACUGAGGCACGAAAGCGUGGGGAUCAAACAGGAUUAGAUACCCUGGUAGUCCACGCCCUAAACGAUGGAUACUCGACAUUUGCGAUAUACUGUAAGUGUCUGAGCGAAAGCAUUAAGUAUCCCACCUGGGAAGUACGAUCGCAAGAUUG